rnacentral:rRNA from 1 species
UUGACCUCGGAUCAGGUAGGGAUACCCGCUGAACUUAAGCAUAUCAAUAAGCGGAGGAAAAGAAACCAACAGGGAUUGCCCCAGUAACGGCGAGUGAAGCGGCAAGAGCUCAAAUUUGAAAGCUGGCUCCUUCGGGGUCCGCAUUGUAAUUUGCAGAGGAUGCUUCGGGAGCGGUCCCCAUCUAAGUGCCCUGGAACGGGACGU